rnacentral:lncRNA from 1 species
CGCGGGCCGGGACCGGCCGGUCCUUCCCCCCCCCCCCCCCCCCCCCCCAUUUCCCCGCCGCCACCGGAAGGGCCCGGCCCGGCCCCAGCGCGACGCCGCCGCCGCCAACAUGAGGUGAGCGGCCGGGGCGGGGGCACCGGGAACCGGUACCGGGAGCACCGGGGGUUACUGGGCAGCACCGGGAACCGGUACCGGAGGGUAUCGGCAGCACCGGGGUUACGGGGAAGCACGGGGAGCCGGUACUGGGAGCACUAGGCAGCACUGGGAACUGGUACCGGAGGGUACCGGGAGCACCGGGGGUUACUGGGCAGCACCGGGAACCGGUACCGGAGGGUACCGGGAGCACCGGGGGUUACUGGGAAGCACGGGGAGCCGGUGCUGGGAGCACUGGGCAGCACCGGGAAGUGGUACCGGAGGGUACUGGGAGCAUCGGGGGUUACUGGGCAGCACUGGGAAGUGAUACCGGAGGGUACCGGGAGCACCGGGGGUUACUGGGAAGCACUGGGCAGCACCGGGAACUGGCACUGGGGGUAACGGGGAACAGCGGGCGUUACCGGAAAGCACGGGGAACCGGUACUGGGAGCACUGGGCAGCACCGGGAAGUGGUACCGGAGGGGUACUGGGAGUACUGGGAUUACCGGGAACUGGUACUGGGGGUAACGGGGAGCACCGGGAACUGGUACCGGAGGGUACCGGGAGCACUGGGAUUACCGGGACCGCGGGGGGUUACCGGAAAGCACCGGGAACCAGUACUGGGAGCACUGGGCAGCACCGGGAAGUGGUACUGGGAGCACUGGGAUUACCGGGAACUGGCGCUGGGGAACUGGAACUUGGAGUUUGCACCGGAAAGUACCGGGGGAACUGGGGGGUACUGGGAGCUGGCACCGGGGGAACCGGGGGGUACUGGGAGAACUGGGAAGCACCGGGAGUUGGCACUGGGGUAACUGGGGAGCACUGGGAGUACCAGGAAGCACAGGGAGCUGUUACUGGGAGAACUGGGGAGCACCGGGUGCUGGUACUGGGAGAGUUGGGGAGCACUGGGAGCUGGCACCGAGGGAACUGGGAAGCACUGGGAGAACAGGGGAGUACUGGGAGCUGGGACCGAGGGUACUGGGGAGCACUGGGAGCUGGUACUGGAGGAGCUGAGAAGCACUGGGGAGUACUGGGAGCUGACAUCGAGGGAACUGGGGAGCACUGGGGGAACUGGGGAGCACUGGGAGCUGACAUUGGGGGAACGGGGGAGCACUGGGGGAACUG